GACGGGCGGUGAGUGCAGAAGAGGAAAGUGGAAUUCCACGUGUAGCGGUGAAAUGCGUAGAGAUGUGGAGGAACACCAGUGGCGAAGGCGACUUUCUGGUCUGUAACUGACGCUGAGGCGCGAAAGCGUGGGGAGCAAACAGGAUUAGAUACCCUGGUAGUCCACGCCGUAAACGAUGAGUGCUAAGUGUUAGGGGGUUUCCGCCCCUUAGUGCUGCAGCUAACGCAUUAAGCACUCCGCCUGGGGAGUACGGCCGCAAGGCUGAAACUCAAAGGAAUUGACGGGGGCCCGAACAAGCGGUGGAGCAUGUGGUUAACUCCAAACCAACGCCAAUAACCUACAAAA
rnacentral:rRNA from 1 species